UCCGAUAUGGUGUAACGGCUAGCAUCAAUCUCUUUCAAAUGGGAUCCAUUUAACAGAUUAGAUCGGGGUUCGAUUCCCCGUAUCGGAG